rnacentral:rRNA from 1 species
UACGUAGGGGGCGAGCGUUGUCCGGAAUCAUUGGGCGUAAAGCGCGUGUAGGCGGCUCGGUAAGUCCGGUGUGAAACCUUGGGGCUCAACCCCAAGCCUGCACUGGAUACUGUCGAGCUCGAGUCCGGGAGGGGAGAGCGGAAUUCCUAGUGUAGCGGUGAAAUGCGUAGAUAUCUGGAGGAACACCGGUGGCGAAGGCGGCGUCCUGGACCAACACUGACGCUCAGGCACGAAAGCGUGGGGAGCAAACAGG